UACGUUCAUCCCGCUCUCGGGCGGGACGCAAGUAAGUCGCGGAACGGAGCGUUCAUCCUAUGCUUUCAUUAGCACUCAUCUUUUUUAGUCAUGUCCCAGUGGAGAAUUAUCUUCGCUGUGAAGAUCUGAAAUGGUUGAAGCAAGGAUUAGAUGAGACAACUCUCUUCACUCCUUUUGAGAAGGCUGAUAUCUACAUCCAUUGGAUGGAACAUACAGACCCUCAAUGCUUUGAAGCACAGGACGCAAACGACUGAAGGAACGGGGA
rnacentral:ncRNA from 18 species